rnacentral:rRNA from 1 species
GACAGAGGGUGCAAACGUUGUUCGGAAUGACUGGGCGUAAAGCGCGUGUAGGCGGCUCGGCAAGUCGGGUGUGAAAGCCCUGGGCUCAACCCAGGAAGUGCACUCGAAACUGCCGAGCUGGAGUCCCGGAGAGGAAGGCGGAAUUCUCGGUGUAGAGGUGAAAUUCGUAGAUAUCGAGAGGAACACCGGUGGCGAAGGCGGCCUUCUGGACGGCGACUGACGCUGAGACGCGAAAGCGUGGGGAGCAAAC